UGGGGAAUAUUGCACUUAUGGGCGAAAGCCUGAUGCAGCGACGCCGCGUGAGUGAGGAAGUAUUUCGGUAUGUAAAGCUCUAUCAGCAGGGAAGAAAGAAAUGACGGUACCUGAGUAAGAAGCUCCGGCUAAAUACGUGCCAGCAGCCGCGGUAAUACGUAUGGAGCAAGCGUUAUCCGGAUUUACUGGGUGUAAAGGGAGCGUAGGCGGCAGAGCAAGUCUGAUGUGAAAGCCCGGGGCUCAACCCCGGUAGUGCAUUGGAAACUGUUCAGCUCGAGUGUCGGAGGGGUAAGCGGAAUUCCUGGUGUAGCGGUGAAAUGCGUAGAUAUCAGGAAGAACACCGGAGGCGAAGGCGGCUUACUGGACGAUUACUGACGCUGAGGCUCGAAAGCGUGGGGAGCGAACAGGAUUAGAUACCCUGGUAGUCCACGCUGUAAACGAUGAAUACUAGGUGUCGGUACCCGAAGGGUAUCGGUGUCGUCGCAAACGCAUUAAGUAUUCCACCUGGGGAGUACGUUCGCAAGAAUG
rnacentral:rRNA from 1 species